UACGUAGGGUGCAAGCGUUAAUCGGAAUUACUGGGCGUAAAGCGUGCGCAGGCGGCUUUGCAAGACAGAUGUGAAAUCCCCGGGCUUUACCUGGGAACUGCAUUUGUGACUGCAUGGCUAGAGUGCGGCAGAGGGGGAUGGAAUUCCGCGUGUAGCAGUGAAAUGCGUAGAUAUGCGGAGGAACACCGAUGGCGAAGGCAAUCCCCUGGGCCUGCACUGACGCUCAUGCACGAAAGCGUGGGGAGCAAACAGG
rnacentral:rRNA from 1 species